rnacentral:lncRNA from 1 species
UUUCUGUGAACUACAUUUUGAAAAUACGGAAAACUUACAUUACUUUUCCUAAAUGUGAGGUUGUAGUUGGUUUGAAAACUUUCCACAAUCAUCGACCUCAGCAGAAGAAGGAAAAGAGAUGGCUAAAAAAACCUAUACUACUGAAUAAUAAUAAAAAUUAAGAAAUUAGGCAGUUAGCAUAGAUCAAAUCCAAAUCCUAUUCCUAAUUAUAAAAAUACCACUAGUAUGAGUUUUACCAGAAGUGAUAUGCCAAAUCACUUAGACGUAAAUCAAACGUAAAAUGGCAAUUUAAGUAAGCUAAUAUAAUUUUUUAUUUCCAUCUAUGGAAAUGGAUAGGAGUAAUUGAAGAUGGAAAAAUUACAACAAUUUUAUUAAAAAAGGACAAUAAAGGAUGCCAACUUUCACUUGUCAUUCAAAUUAAAAGGUUGGUUAAUAGGCAUCGAAUAAAUACCUUUUAAAGAAUCAGGAAGUUUUUCACAACUAGAAGCAUGGCUCCAGAAACACUUGAAAUAAUUUAUAAAGAUAUAGAGAAAAUGGCAAUUCAUAGGAAGUUGGGGAAAAUGAGUAAACUUUUUGAUAAUGUGAUUAAAAUGUCAAAAAUCUCUUAUUUAAUAUGCUUCAAUUAACAAAAGUGCAUGCUAAACAUGAGAAAUACAUGUCGGUUUCAAAAAUAGGUGCAGACAAGGACAUGAUGACAGAGAAUAGGGUUAAUGCAACUGCACAAUUUUAUAGCUAUUCCUUUAACAAAACUGCUGGCUUAUGAUCUCUGCUUGAUUUGCUAAAAAAUGCAUAACAACAAAGAUUCAUAAUGCCCUGGUUUGGAAAGAAUCACAAUUUUUUUGUAUUAAAAUGUAAUGUCUACUGAAAAUACUACCUAUGUUCUGACUUAACUCACCUAAGAACCAUGACUGAUCAGUAAAGAAAAUGUUCAAGUUUAGUAAUACACAUUGACUCUUGACAUAAACAGAUAUAACCCCCUGCUCCCAAUAACUGUGCGUUAAACCCAAGAAUGUCUCAAUUUUCAAAUUGAGUUUGAAUUUAGAAAGGAACAUAGCAAGGCAUCAUAUGAAUUCUUAAAAACACAUAUCACCAAUAUUGCAUCACCCGAAGUGUUGGUAGACCAAACUUGUUUGUCUCAUUACCGAAUAUGCACGAAAAAUUAAUUUUUAGACUGCCAGAGAAGAUAAACUAAAAGGUUACUAACUCAAAAAGAUAAAUGGGGCCAUUACGUUACCAAAAAUCAACGCUAGAUGUUCAACCAAAUAUGAAGGAGAAGAGUUGGAUAUCUGAAGGAGAAG